rnacentral:rRNA from 1 species
CGUCAGCUCGUGCCGUGAGGUGUCGGCUUAAGUGCCAUAACGAGCGCAACCCUUGUCAUUAGUUACCAUCAGGUCAAGCUGGGGACUCUAAUGAGACUGCCACCGUAAGGUGAGAGGAAGGGGGGGAUGACGUCAAAUCAGCACGGCCCUUAUGUCCGGGGCGACACACGUGUUACAAUGGCCAGUACAGAGGGCCGCUACCCCGCGAGGGGAUGCCAAUCUCGAAAGCUGGUCUCAGUUCGGAUUGAAGUCUGGAACCCGACUUC